UUGGGCUCCAUUGCCAGUUGGGAUUUGGGAGCGAUUUGCUGGUGCAGAGGAGACUACUCGCUUCAGGCUUCUAUUAGAGGGCCCUGUCUGUUGGGCCUGGUACCUAGGUGAGCGCUUUUUGCGCUAGGCCCUGGGUUUGUCAGAGUAGAUAGUUCCAGCUCCGCCCCUUGAGCAUAUGAGGGACACCGAGAGGUUCACUCCCGAGCAGAUGGCUGAUUAUACGAUCGGCUGGGAUUUGAUACAUUAUAGAGGCAUAGGCGACUACACAGAGUACAUCCGUACGUAUAUCAUGCGGCCUUUGAGCAGUGGCCGUCGAGCUGAGAGAGAGAGAGGCCGGCGGCGCCAGCGGCUGGAGCAGGGGCAGGGAUAUCGAGGAUGGCUCGAGUCUGUGGCAGGAGUGGAGCUCGGAGAGGAUAGGGGGCUAGUGGGCUAGCACUGCCCACGACGAUGACAUACAGAGGGCGGGGUGGGACGACUUACCAAAUCCCCAUCGCUCCUCCUCCGGCUGAUCAUGAGUUAGUUGGUUUCUACGACUUGCCUCCGGCUUCCUCUAAUUACACUCGCUAGUCCCUAGAGUUGACUGCUUCGGUGAUGGGGAUGUUCUAGCAGAGCCUCAAUCUUUUGGCCAUGUAUAGUAUUCCGGAGGUGCUCCAGCCGGACCUUUGGUCCGUACCCGAGGAGGAGGAGAUGGUAGAGUAUACGCCCGCACCAAGGCGGGGCGCACUCAUGUUGGGAGUAGCUCUCGGGGGCUAGUUCCAGAUGAUGACGAGUUCGAG